rnacentral:rRNA from 1 species
AUAUGUGAAUACAUAGCAUAUCUGAAGGCAGACGCGGAGAACUGAAACAUCUUAGUACCCGCAGGAAGAGAAAGAAAAAUCGAUUCCCUGAGUAGCGGCGAGCGAAACGGGAAGAGCCCAAACCAACGAGCUUGCUUGUUGGGGUUGUAGGACACUCUAUACGGAGUUACAAAAGAACAGACUAGACGAAUCAUCUGGAAAGAUGAAUCAAAGAAGGUAAUAAUCCUGUAGUCGAAAGUUUGUUCACUCUUGAGUGGAUCCUGAGUACGACGGAACACGAGAAAUUCCGUCGGAAUCUGGGAGGACCAUCUCCCAAGGCUAAAUACUCUCUAGUGACCGAUAGUGAACCAGUACCGUGAGGGAAAGGUGAAAAGUACCCCGGAAGGGGAGUGAAAUAGAACUUGAAACCGUGUGCUUACAAGUAGUCAGAGCCCGUUAAUGGGUGAUGGCGUGCCUUUUGUAGAAUGAACCGGCGAGUUACGAUUUGAUGCAAGGUUAAGCAGUGAAUGUGGAGCCGUAGCGAAAGCGAGUCUGAAUAGGGCGUUGAGUAUUUGGUCGUAGACCCGAAACCAGGUGAUCUACCCAUGACCAGGUUGAAGUUCAGGUAACACUGAAUGGAGGACCGAACCGACUUACGUUGAAAAGUGAGCGGAUGAGUUGUGGGUAGCGGAGAAAUUCCAAUCGAACCUGGAGAUAGCUGGUUCUCUCCGAAAUAGCUUUAGGGCUAGCCUCAAGUGAUGAUUAUUGGAGGUAGAGC